GGCUAGUCCGAAGGUAGUAAGUUAUCUCACUUGAUUGUUCGCAGUCAGUUACAGAUUGAACUCCUUGUUCUACUACUUUCCCCCCCUCCUCACUACUGCACUUGACUAGUCUUUA
rnacentral:Y_RNA from 1 species